rnacentral:lncRNA from 1 species
UGACUAUUGUGCAGGAUUCCUGUUGAGUAUUUGCAGGUGUUACACAUCCAUACUUCUGCAGAAUUGGCCCUCAUCUGUAGAGUUUGUACAUCUACGUUUGCACAGCGGUGGUAAGAUAUGCACACAUAUGUUGAGUCCGUGCCAGAAAUAUCUACUUGUAUUUAUGUUUUUAGGUUUUCCUUGUGAAUGUGCUUUUAAUGUUCAUGGGCUUGUUGCAGCGCUGCCAACAGUGUUAAAAAUAACAGAGCAAGACUGACUUUGAUGACAGGAAAGCAACGUUUUCAUUGUAAAAGUAGAUUUCUGAUUCUGCGGUGAUCAGUUUAAGAAGAGGCAUGAAGAAGAUAAGCAGGACCCGCAUUAAAUUUUGGGAGCUGGUAAAAAGAGUUUCUGUUUCUGUUUGCAGAGUUAAAACUGGCAAAGAAAGAAGGGAAGAAAGAAUGUGCGCUGUCGCCCACCUUCUAGCCAAUAGACUACAAAGGCAUAGCUUGCCAGGGUAUUCACUUUCCUCCUG